UGGGGCCGCAUCACUUGACAGGGAAGUCGGGGGCUGGCUUAUGCCCUCUCCUGUCUCCCUCACCUGCUCCUGCUCCCCACUUGAGAGAAACAAGGUUGGGGAAAUCCCCUGUUUCUCACAGCACUCGGAUCUCCAAACACUUAAAAUAUAUCUUAGGUGUCGAGGGUGGCCUUGGAGAGGGGCUGGUCACAGCUAGAAGCUUCCGAGAUACCAAGAACCAUGUGGAAGUUGUUGGAAGGGGCUUUGACCGGCAAGUCAUGGGCCAGCCCCGUUCAAGUCAGCCAUUGGGACCUCCUCGGCACAUGUCAGAGGAUGUUUUCCUUCUUGCCUUGAGAGCUGGCCAGGCCCCAGCAGCUUGGAGUGGAAGGACAAGGGGAACCAGACCCCAUUCUGUAGCCACCCCUUUUUCAUUGUCUUCACAGCAGAGCGACAUGGAGCCUUUGAGGUCUGCCGGCAGGGAGUGGGGGACUCAGCCCCAGACAAUGUCUGGGCCCCCCCUCACCCAGCUUGCUGAACCCCUGCGUGCCAAACCCCUGCCCUUUUGAAGGACAGCCAAGCAGAGUUGGGCGGGGCUGGUCAAGGGGAGGGCCAGUGCCCUCAGCUGCCCUGGCCAGCGGGGGUGGGAGCAGAGGGCCGGCUCAGCAGCUGAAGCCAUGGAGAUCAGAGGUCGCUGAGGCUAGGGACAGCCAUUGGAGGUGAGAGGUGCAGAGAGAGGCCACGAACCCCCACCCAAGCAGAGAAGGACAGAGCAGAGGGAGAAAUGGGUGCCCGACCGGGACAGGUGUCCUUGGGGAGGGCUGACACCUGGACGUGGAUGGGGAGGGAUGGCUUCCCCUUCCUCCUGGACUCACGGGCUCUGGGGCUGGGGCUCUGGGGGCCCAGUGGCGGCGGAGGCGGCAGCGGCGGCUACAGCAGGCAGCCCGACUCCAGCUGUUCACUUACUGGCUGCUGCGAGACCUCUGCCCGAUGACUUCCAGUCCUGCAGCCACCUCAACCUCUGCAUCUGCAGAACCCGAGCGCGGAUUCCUGCUUCGCCCAGCUUGUUUGUUUUCAGCUAGGUGCCUUCCCUUGGCUUUCCUCCCCUCUCUCCCCUAACCAGAUGUGGAGCAAGGCAGGGGAGGGCCUAGGUUCUGACAACAGCCAGCCCUGGCCUCAAACCUAGGUGCUUCCUCUUCCUACCACUAUGACUACCCUUAUGACGUGGGGACAAGGGACUCCACCCCUGCGAGGCUCAGUUUCUUCAUCUGAGAGAUGGGGGUGACAGACCUGCUUGCAGGGAAGGUUGGGAUCAGGCCUCCAGGAGGGUCCAUUUGGAAAGAGCAAACUGCAGGGGGCUCAGCAAAUGUGCCUCCACUGUUAUGAUCACCCGGUACUCCCUCCCUCCUCCAAUUCCCCUUCGGUGCACUUGGAGAGAUGGUCUCCCCUCACCUCCCGAGUCCCAGUGGAGACAGAAUCCAAGGGGUGGGCAGGAGAAUUUUAAGACAUAGGCCGAGCCCUCCUGCUUUCCAAGGCUGCACUCCACCCUCCAUCAUUGCGUACAUAUGAGAACAAAGCCACAUCCCACAUUAAAGAAACAAUGUAAGCUUGAUUACAAGAAAGUAAACUGCAGUUGAGUAGUGGAAAGAAUGUUAUGCUUUAUGGACAUUGGAUUAAAUGGUCAUAAAUGUUGA